rnacentral:rRNA from 1 species
CCUACGGGAGGCAGCAGUGAGGAAUAUUGGACAAUGGGCGCAAGCCUGAUCCAGCCAUGCCGCGUGCAGGAUGACGGUCCUAUGGAUUGUAAACUGCUUUUAUACAGGAAGAAACACCUCUACGUGUAGAGACUUGACGAUACUGUAAGAAUAAGGAUCGGCUAACUCCGUGCCAGCAGCCGCGGUAAU